CGCCCCCGAGCCUAACCGGCCGCGCGCCCCCAGCCCGAGCUGGGGCCAGCCCCGCGAGACGCGCAAGCAGAAGGACCACAGCCAUCGCCCGUCUCCCAUCUCCAAGAUGGCGGAGGCAGCUUCAACCUCACCUCUCGCGAGGAGUUUGUCUCACUGUCUCUGAUUAGCCCUGAGGUCAGAGGUAUCACAAGGCUCCGUGAGAGCUCAGGCACCAGAAUUUUAGCAAUGAAAGAAGACAUA